GUGGGUAUAGCUCAGUGGUAGAGUGCAUGCUUAGCAUACACAAGGUCCUGGGUUCAAUAUCCAGUACCUCCA
rnacentral:tRNA from 1 species